CCUUUUAUAUCUCUCAAUCGUUAAUUUUAUUUUCAUUAUUUGUUCAUUUUCAUUAUCGAUCAUCGUUCCUAUUUGUAGUUUUAAAUUUGAAGAAAAUUUGUGAAAGGGUUUGAAUUUAUGUUUUAUGUAUUUCUUAAAAUCUUCGUAGAAGUUUUUUAAUGAUUUAUUUUUCUUUUAUACAUGAAUGCUAAGGAAUUGAUGUAACAAUAGGAUGUGGCAUUCCCUAUUUUUAUUUUUAAAAUAUAUACUCUUCCAUUUUUUAAAAUAUAUACUUUUGGAAUUGGUCACAUUUUUUUAUUUUUUUGGCUAAACAUUAGCUUUGUUAAUUAAUGAAUAUGUUAAACAAUUUUGUCUUAACUGUUCAGACAAAAUUCAGGACUUUGGAAUGAAUAUUCAGUUUGCACUAUCGUUUUUUAUUUAUUGAAUAUGAUUAAUAAUU